UGGAAAUUUGAGGACCUGCGGCCAGGCCCCUGCCCCCCACGGCUCGCAACCUCGCUCCACUCCGGCGUCCCUGCGCCUCCCCGCCGACUUCCCCACCAGCCCUCACCACUGCCGAGCUCCUCGGCUCUGUCCCCCCGCUCUUCGGCGGCUCCUCAAACUCCAACGAGCCGACGCCUCCCCGAUGACCUGCACCGAUCCGAGACCCUCAGCCACGUUCGCCGUCGCCCUUGGAUCUGCGCACCAUGGCUCACCCCGUCGCUGGCCUCCCGCUACCGUGUGAAUCCCCGACUCGGACGUCAGAUGUGGCUUCGACUACGACCUCAUGAUCAUCGGAGAUAGUGUCGGCGGCCACGGCGCCGCCCUCCACGCCAUCGAGAAGGGUCAGCUACUGUUCUUUUGUAAGAGAGGGCAACUUCAACUCUAACAAUAUAAGGAGACCAAAGGUUGGAUGAGGAGAUGAAGGUCAAGCAGAUGAGGAAGGAGAUGGUGCCAAGAGCACAUCUGAUGCUAGAUUGUGCCUAAAAGGUAGCAGGUCUCGAGCCGUCUUCUCUCCUCUUUUAAUCUCAUUCAAUUUACAUGAUCAAAUAUUUAAUAUUUACAGCUACCAAUUAUGAACUUCUAUUAGGUUAGUCAUGAUCACUUCAACAUAUGCAGCUGUUAUUCUGAAAUCAGAAUUAUUUUAACAAUGUUUCUAAUUAUUUUGGAAUUCAUAAAAACAUUUCUGGAUAGUCAUUUAAUUUGUUUCUGAUGGAUGAUCGAGCUGGUACCUUAGAAUAGCUAGCAGAUUUCAUAUAGUAACCCAACUAAGAAUACAAGGCUGCAAACCCAACAUUGGGGUAGAAAUCUCCCACUCAAUAACAUUGCAAAUAGAAAGAAACAUUGGUUUUGUCGCAAUGUUAUAUUGCAAAUAGAAUGAUGUGGGUUUGCAAUUGUCUGUACUAUGUAGCACAUCAAGUGACUUCUCUAGCUCUGUAGUGCAUCUUUCUUGUUCUGUCAAGCCUGUAAUAAUUAUUUAGUCCUCAUAGCAUUGGAAUUGACAUCACUAUCCAAUAUUGGACUAUCCAAUAUGUGAGCCUGUAAUAGUUAAGUUUUUCUGAGUAUGCAUAGUUGAUGCUGCGCAGUUUAUUUUCUUCUCCAUCCGCAUGCUGUUUAUGCUGAGUUCUUUGAUUCAUAUCUGAGUUCCUUUUCAAUUCCUUGCAACGUGUGGUUCUGCCUCCCCCGUGGUUCUGCCCACCGCUGAAAACAACAGGCGCACAAAGCAAGCGGUUCCUCGACUAAAAAAAAAGACGAGCGGUUCCGGUUCCCCCCAUCUCGCUCCCGCUCGCGCCGCCCUCCAUGGUUGAAUAAUAAGACACAAACUAGAUACGGAAUCGCUACGUUUCUCCGUCUCGCUCGCCGACGCCGCCGGUCCGUCCCCUCGCACUGCCCUCGCCUCCCCGUCUCGCUCGCCGCUGCCGCCGCCCCCUCACCGGAAACGAGGAGGACCCGAGGGAGGACGCCGCGCCGCCGGUACUCCCGCGCCUCUACUCCUGCCGUCGCCUCCCCAUCUCGCGAGCUGUCGCCGCCGCCGCUCCGCCGUUCCCCUCACCGGAAGCGAGGACUCGAGGGAGGGCGCCGCGCCGCGCCGCCGGUCCGCAACCUCCAGUGGCGGAGCCACAGGGGGUGCUGGGGGUGCUCCAGCCCCCCUACUCCCAUAGAACCCAUGGAGGCCCCCCAACAUUUUUCAAGCAUGAGUGAAGAAGAGGAAGAAGAAAGGAGGAGGAAGAAGAAGAAAAAGGAAGGAGGGAGGAAGAAGAAAGGAAAAUGAGCCCCUCCUCAAUUUGAAUCCCAGCUCCGCCACUGGCAACCUCCUCCCUCCCCCUACCCGAAGCCCACAGCCCGCCGCCGCCGGGAGGUCAGCUCCUCCACUUCUGUCGGGGAAUUUGCUGUUCGUCUUCCUCUUGGGGCGAAGGAGGGAUUCAGUUGGUCGUUUCAGAAUGUUGGGCUCGGCGGCUUCAAGCUCGCUGUCGCCUUCAAGGACCUGUGCAACGCAUCGGCGAGGCCAAGGUGGAGAUCGUUCUGGUCGAGGGGAGCUCGGGGAAACGGUAGUGGCCACGUUCAACCAGCUCGGCACCACCACACUUGUCAUCGGCCUAGCUUCAUCUACAGGUGAGUGCACACUCGCCGAAUUCGAUUGAAGCAGCAACUUUAAGCAUAUGCAUAGUAAAAGUUUAGGAUAUGCAUUACCAAAAAGAGCUAUAUUUAUUUAAUGAAAAAUUGAUCCCAUCCUAUCCUGCAUCCUGAUGGUUCUUGAUCCCAUCCUAUCCUGCAUCCUUUAUUUAUUUUUGAACUGGGUAAAUGCAAGGAACAUGCCAGAAUGCUAGAAUGAGAUUACAGUUCCAGAAAUUCAUGAGCUAUCUUUUUGCAUGAGACAACUUGUAAUACGUUACUUUAGAUCACAUGAAACAUGUUGCAUAAAUCUGGGUUGAGUGCACGCUCGCCAUUUUCGAUUGAAGCGGCAACUUUAAGCAUAUGCAUAGUAAAAGUUUAGGAUAUGCAUUACGAAAAAGAGCUAUAUUUAUUUAAUUAAAAAUUGAUCCCAUCCUAUCCUGCAUCCUGAUGGUUCUUGAUCCCAUCCUAUCCUGCAUCCGUUAUUUAUUUUUGAACUGGGUAAAUGCAAGGAACAUGCCAGAAUGCUAGAAUGAGAUUACAGUUCCAGAAAUUCAUGAGCUAUCUUUUUGCAUGAGACAACUUGUAAUACUUUACUUUAGAUCACAUGAAACAUGUUGCAUAAAUCUGGGUUGCAAUGGCUUGCAAAGCAAUAACAUUGUUUUUAUGUAUUUUGUUGCCCACUGAGUUUAUUUUCCCCUUCAUACACCAGUAUGGCAGGAACAAUGCUAUAUGUGUUCCAAGAUGCUGCCUGAGUGCUUUAGUACCAGCAAAUCAUAAUCUGUGUACAUUUUAUUUCUAGGAAGUUAAUGCUAUAUGUGCGUUGAUGCUAAUUGCUUAAAGGAAUUUCUACUGUAAAAUAAGCUAUUUGAUUUCAAGCAAGUAGAAUUUUUGGACAUAUUGUGGUAUAGAAUAUUUUAGUAAUUGCAUAUGCAGAUUAAUUUUUGGAGGAAAAGAUUUAAUACUUUGGUUUCAUGUCGUAUUCAUAUAAAGUGUUUUUUGCCAAGAUAAAAUUGCUAGAUGGAAUCACUGAAUGUUGUAUAGUUUUUCUUUUGUCAGUUCUAAAUAAUUUGCCAGUGAAUGUCACUGAAUGUUGUAUUAUUCACUUAAUUUGUCAGUUCUAUAGUUUUUCUUUUUGCAAUGUGCUAGAUAAUUUCUGUACAAUGGAAUAGCUUACUGGUGGCCCAUGUUCUACUGCCACCCAAGCAUGCCUCGAUCUCUUGGAGUGUUGUCGAUUGUUAACAUGGCUAAAGAUUGGGGACAUUGUCAAGGAAGACAACCGGGUGCAUGCUCAUCAUGGCCUCUACUAUAGGGAGAUCCUUCUCAGAACGUCCAUGUGCCCCUAGGUUAUCAGGGGGAAGAUUACCUUUGGUGUGUAGCUUUUAGAACCUAGACAU